AGAGCGAACGCUGGCGGCAGGCCUAACACAUGCAAGUCGAGCGCCGUAGCAAUACGGAGCGGCAGACGGGAGAGUAACACGUGGGAACGUGCCCUUUGGUUCGGAACAACACAGGGAAACUUGUGCUAAUACCGGAUAAGCCCUUACGGGGAAAGAUUUAUCGCCAAAGGAUCGGCCCGCGUCUGAUUAGCUAGUUGGUGAGGUAAUGGCUCACCAAGGCGACGAUCAGUAGCUGGUCUGAGAGGAUGAUCAGCCUCAUUGGGACUGAGACACGGCCCAAACUCCUACGGGAGGCAGCAGUGGGAAUAUUGGACAAUGGGCGCAAGCCUGAUCCAGCCAUGCCGCGUGGGUGAUGAAGGCCCUAGGGUUGUAAAGCCCUUUCGGCGGGGAAGAUAAUGACGGUACCCGCAGAAGAAGCCCCGGCUAACUUCGCGCCAGCAGCCGC
rnacentral:rRNA from 1 species